GAUGAACGCUGGCGGCGUGCUUAACACAUGCAAGUCGAACGAAGCACUUUAUUUGAUUUCCUUCGGGACUGAUUAUUUUGUGACUGAGUGGCGGACGGGUGAGUAACGCGUGGGUAACCUGCCUUGUACAGGGGGAUAACAGUUGGAAACGGCUGCUAAUACCGCAUAAGCGCACAGCAUCGCAUGAUGCAGUGUGAAAAACUCCGGUGGUAUAAGAUGGACCCGCGUUGGAUUAGCUAGUUGGUGAGGUAACGGCCCACCAAGGCGACGAUCCAUAGCCGACCUGAGAGGGUGACCGGCCACAUUGGGACUGAGACACGGCCCAAACUCCUACGGGAGGCAGCAGUGGGGAAUAUUGCACAAUGGGCGAAAGCCUGAUGCAGCGACGCCGCGUGAGCGAAGAAGUAUUUCGGUAUGUAAAGCUCUAUCAGCAGGGAAGAUAAUGACGGUACCUGACUAAGAAGCACCGGCUAAAUAC
rnacentral:rRNA from 1 species